rnacentral:tRNA from 1 species
GGGGGCGUAGCUCACCUGGGAGAGCGUUUGACUGGCAGUCAAAAGGUAGCCGGUUCGAGCCCGGUCGUCUCCACCA